UACAGAGGUCCCAAGCGUUGUUCGGAUUCACUGGGCGUAAAGGGCGCGUAGGCGGCCUCUGCAAGUCGACUGUGAAAUCUCCGGGCUUAACCCGGAAAGGUCAGCCGAUACUGCAGGGCUAGAGUGCAGAAGGGGCAACUGGAAUUCUCGGUGUAGCGGUGAAAUGCGUAGAUAUCGAGAGGAACACCUGCGGCGAAGGCGGGUUGCUGGGCUGACACUGACGCUGAAGCGCGAAAGCUAGGGGAGCGAACGGG
rnacentral:rRNA from 1 species